rnacentral:rRNA from 1 species
UAGGGAAUCUUCCGCAAUGGACGCAAGUCUGACGGAGCAACGCCGCGUGAGUGAAGAAGGAUUUCGGUUCGUAAAACUCUGUUGUUAGAGAAGAACAGCGCAUAGAGUAACUGUUAUGCGUGUGACGGUAUCUAACCAGAAAGCCACGGCUAACUACGUGCAAGCAGCCGCGGUAAUACGUAGGUGGCAAGCGUUGUCCGGAUUUAUUGGGCGUAAAGCGAGCGCAGGCGGUCAAUUAAGUCUGAUGUGAAAGCCCCCGGCUCAACCGGGGAGGGUCAGUGGAAACUGGUUGAAUUGAGUGAAGAAGAGGAGAGUGGAAUUCCAUGUGUAGCGGUGAAAUGCGUAGAUAUAUGGAGGAACACCAGUGGCGAAGGGGAAUCGCUGGUCUGUAACUGACGCUGAGGCUCGAAAGCGUGGGUAGCAAACAGG